rnacentral:rRNA from 1 species
UACGUAGGUGACAAGCGUUGUCCGGAUUUACUGGGCGUAAAGAGCGCGCAGGCGGUCGUUCAAGUCGAGUGUGAAAGCCCCCGGCUCAACUGGGGAGGGUCACUCGAUACUGAUCGACUCGAAGGCAGGAGAGGGUAGUGGAAUUCCCGGUGUAGUGGUGAAAUGCGUAGAUAUCGGGAGGAACACCAGUGGCGAAGGCGACUACCUGGCCUGUUCUUGACGCUGAGGCGCGAAAGCUA